GAUGAACGCUGGCGGCGUGCCUAACACAUGCAAGUCGAACGGACUUUAAAUGAAGCCUAGCGAUUUUAAAGUUAGUGGCGGACGGGUGAGUAACGCGUGGGUAACCUGCCGUAUACAGGGGGAUAACACUUAGAAAUAGGUGCUAAUACCGCAUAAGCGCACAGUUUCGCAUGGAACAGUGUGAAAAACUCCGGUGGUAUACGAUGGACCCGCGUCUGAUUAGCUAGUUGGUAGGGUAACGGCCUACCAAGGCGACGAUCAGUAGCCGGACUGAGAGGUUGGCCGGCCACAUUGGGACUGAGACACGGCCCAGACUCCUACGGGAGGCAGCAGUGGGGAAUAUUGCACAAUGGGCGAAAAGCCUGAUGCAGCAACGCCGCGUGAAGGAUGAAAGGCCUUCGGGUCGGUAAACUUCUGUCCUUGGGGAAGAAGAACUGACGGGUAACCCCUUGGAGGAAGCCCCGGCUAACUACGUG
rnacentral:rRNA from 1 species